AACGAACGCUGGCGGCAGGCCUAACACAUGCAAGUCGAGCGCCCAGCAAUGGGAGCGGCAGACGGGUGAGUAACGCGUGGGAACCUUCCCAAUGGUACGGAAUAGCUCAGGGAAACUUGAGGUAAUACCGAAUAAGCCCGAAAGGGGAAAGAUUUAUCGCCAUUGGAUGGGCCCGCGUAGGAUUAGCUAGUUGGUGAGGUAAUGGCUCACCAAGGCGACGAUCCUUAGCUGGUUUGAGAGAAUGACCAGCCACACUGGGACUGAGACACGGCCCAGACUCCUACGGGAGGCAGCAGUGGGGAAUCUUGGACAAUGGGCGCAAGCCUGAUCCAGCCAUGCCGCGUGAAGUGACGAAGGUUCUUCGGAUUGUAAAGCUCUUUUGCCAGGGACGAUAAUGACGGUACCUGGAGAAUAAGCCCCGGCUAACUUCGUGCCAGCCGCCGCAGUAAG
rnacentral:rRNA from 1 species